ACUACGGGUGGCAGCAGUGGGGAAUAUUGCACAAUGGGGGAAACCCUGAUGCAGCGACGCCGCGUGAGCGAUGAAGUAUUUCGGUAUGUAAAGCUCUAUCAGCAGGGAAGAAAAUGACGGUACCUGACUAAGAAGCCCCGGCUAACUACGUGCCAGCAGCCGCGGUAAAACGUAGGGGGCAAGCGUUAUCCGGAUUUACUGGGUGGAAAGGGAGCGUAGACGGCUUGGCAAGCCAGAUGUGAAAGGCUGGGGCUCAACCCCAGGACUGCAUUUGGAACUGUCAUGCUAGAGUGUCGGAGAGGCAGGCGGAAUUCCUAGUGUAGCGGUGAAAUGCGUAGAUAUUAGGAGGAACACCAGUGGCGAAGGCGGCCUGCUGGACGAUGACUGACGUUGAGGCUCGAAAGCGUGGGGAGCAAGCAGGAUUAGAUACCCCGGUAGUC
rnacentral:rRNA from 1 species